rnacentral:misc_RNA from 1 species
UGCUGCAGCCCUUCACUUACACCAAGUAUCAGAUUGUGCAUUGCUUACUUAAGUUCUCUCCUAUUAUGACUAAUGUUUACAACAACAAAUGAGCAUACACGGACUUCAAGUUUUCAGCACCAACAUGAAGAACCAGGUAGUGUAUUUCAUCUGAUGAUUGAGCCUUCCAAGGAGCCUGGGCUAACUAUCAGUAGCAAUUAUUGAAGCAAGAAAAGAUGCCCCUCGAUUUGUCUUCCGACCUCGACUUUGGUGUUUCGCCCGAGUCAUCACGAAUGGCCAUCAAUGAACUCGUUCCAGGCGACUCAGGUGGCAGAAUCACAUUUUCCGAACUAAACACACGUUGCGGAACUGCAGAUUCAAUAGG